rnacentral:tRNA from 1 species
AGCCCGGUAGUCUAGCGGUCAAAAUGGGCCUAGAGAUGACUAAGGAUAGCGGGCUCUGGACCCGUUGACGGGAGUUCGAAUCUCCCCCGGGCUACCA